rnacentral:rRNA from 1 species
CGCGGUUAUACGAGAGGCCCAAGUCGAUAGUCAACGGCGUAAAGAGUGGUUAGAAAAGACCCAUUACUAAAGCCGAACGCCCUCAAGGCUGUUAUACGCAUACCGAAGGUGAGAAGCUCAUCCACGAAAGUGGCUUUAUAACCUUGAUUCCACGAAAGCUAAGAAACAAACUGGGAUUAGAUACCCCACUAUGCUUAGUCCUAAACAUUGACAACAAUACACACCUGUUGUCCGCCUGGGAACUACGAGCACCAGCUUGAAACCCAAAGGACUUGGCGGUGCUUUAGAUCCACCUAGAGGAGCCUGUUCUAGAACCGAUACCCCCCGUUCAACCUCACCCUUCUUUGUUUCCCCCGCCUAUAUACCGCCGUCGUCAGCUUACCCCGUGAAGGACGUAUAGUAAGCAAAAUUGGUACACCCCUAAACGCCAGGUCGAGGUGUAGCGUAUGGAAGGGGAAGAAAUGGGCUACAUUCUUUGAUAACAGAGAAUAACAGAUGAUGCACUGAAACACACAUCUGAAGGAGGAUUUAGCAGUAAGCAGGAAAUAGAGUGUCCCGCUGAAACUGGCCCUGAAGCGCGCACACACCGCCCGUCACUCUCCCCUGACUUACUAUUUUU